rnacentral:rRNA from 1 species
UCCCAGACUCCUACGGGAGUCAGCAGUGAGGAAUAUUGGUCAAUUGCCGUAAGGCUGAACCAGCCAAGUAGCUUGAGGUAAGACUGCCCUAUGGGUUGUAAACCUCUUUUAUGCGGUGAUAAAGGUGUCCACUUUUGGAUGUUUGCAGGUACCGCAUGAAUAAGGACCGGCUAAUUCCGUGCCAUCAGCCGCGGUAAUACGGAAGGUCCGGGCGUUAUCCGGAUUUAUUGGGUUUAAAGGGAGCGUAGGCCGGUCUUUAAGCGUGCCGUGAAAUUUUGUGGCUCAACAAUGAGAGUGCGGCGCGAACUGGAGACCUUGAGUGAGAGGAAGGCAGGAGGAAUUCGUGGUGUAGAGGUGAAAUGAUUAGAUAUCACGAAGAAAACCGAUUGAGAAGGAAGCCUGCAGAAGAGUUACUGAAGAUGAAGCUCGAAAGAGAGGGUAUCGAAAAGGAUUAGAUACCCCGGUAU